UGUUCUCUGUCCGGACAAGGGUAUCAUCAAACAUAUGUGUUAUGGGAGUUAAAAACCAAGCAUUAUAAUCGUAUUAACAUUAAGAAUACCAACAUAAUUAUGUUUCAAAUUGGGUCAUUUCAAUGAUUUUCCUGCGAUCAGAGUCAUUUCCCAAGAUUAACGUUUGGAUGUCUACUGUUACGAAAUCUCCCUUCUGCUCGCUAUGUAUGGUUCAUUCCGGAGUUUCGGCAGAAUACAUCGAUUGCUGAAUGAAGAUGGCGGAUUCACGAGCGAUGCUGUCAACUAGACUUGAAACUUAAGCAUUUGCAUAUUUUCUGUCAUUGUGCAUUUCAUGUGGAUAGCUGUCUUCCAAAGACGUACAUUGGCCCUCGUCUUGCGUGCUGCACACUCUGAGGCCUUCUGAGACUGACGGACAGACAGACGCAACACGCCUGAGGGACAGACACAAGGACAGCACCAGAGGAAGUCUCCACAGCAACAAGAGUGCAGCGAUGUGGAUGUCAAAGUGCCCUGCUGUUGAGAGGGAAAAUACAUUAAGAGUUUAUAGAAUUAUGGAGAUUGUAGCAGUUGUAGCAUUCAAAGAGGUACCACUCAUUUGAUUU
rnacentral:lncRNA from 1 species